rnacentral:rRNA from 1 species
UAUAAAUGUAAUUAAAAAUUCUAAAUUAGUAUUAGUUAUGUUCUUAAAAAUUAAAGAUUUUGGCGGUAUUUUAGUCUUUUCAGAGGAACCUGUUCUAUAAUUGAUAAUCCACGAUUAAUUAAACUUAUUUUAUUAGUUUGUAUAUCGUUGUAGUUUGAAUAUUUUAAUAGAAUAAUAAUAUUCAAGAUUUUUUAUAAGAAAAUAAAUCAAAUCAAGGUGCAGUUUAUAGAUAAGAAGAAAUGGGUUACAAUAAAUUUAUUUAUAUGGAUAAAUUAAUGAAAUUUAAUUUUGAAAGUGGAUUUGAAAGUAAUUUAUUUUAUUUAUUUUAAAUGAUUAAAGCUCUAAAAUAUGU